UACGGGAGGCAGCAGUGGGGAAUAUUGCACAAUGGGCGAAAGCCUGAUGCAGCUAUGCCGCGUGUAUGAAGAAGGCCUUAGGGUUGUAAAGUACUUUCAUCGGGGAGGAAAACAAAACUAAUAAUUUUAUUUCUUGACGUUACCCGAAAAAGAAGCACCGGCUAACUCCGUGCCAGCAGCCGCGGUAAUACGGAGGGUGCUAGCGUUAAUCAGAAUUACUGGGCGUAAAGAGCACGUAGGUGGUUUUUUUAAGUCAGAUGUGAAAUCCCUGGGCUUAACCUAGGAACUGCAUUUUUGAAACUGAAAUACUAGAGUAUCGUAGAGGGAGGUAGAAUUCUAGGUGUAGCGGUGAAAUGCGUAGAUAUCUGGAGGAAUACCUGUGGCGAAAGCGGCCUCCUAAACGAAUACUGACACUGAGGUGCGAAAGCGUGGGGAGCAAAACAGGGAUUAGAUACC
rnacentral:rRNA from 1 species